rnacentral:rRNA from 1 species
UACGGAGGGUGCAAGCGUUAUCCGGAUUCACUGGGUUUAAAGGGUGCGUAGGUGGGCAAGUAAGUCAGUGGUGAAAUCUCCGGGCUUAACCCGGAAACUGCCAUUGAUACUAUUUGUCUUGAAUAUUGUGGAGGUAAGCGGAAUAUGUCAUGUAGCGGUGAAAUGCUUAGAUAUGACAUAGAACACCAAUUGCGAAGGCAGCUUACUACAACAAUGAUUGACGCUGAGGCACGAAAGCGUGGGGAUCAAACAGG